rnacentral:lncRNA from 1 species
GAUGGUCGAUCAGAUGUCUCUUUCUUCUUGAUUUGCACUCUUCCAAAGAUAAGAAGUAGGAGAAGGAGUUUUAAAUAUGAGACACUCUCAGAAAACUCACAGAUGGAGGAAGAGAAGAGGUGAACUCAGCAACCCUAGAAGAAGACCCUCUUCUUCUUCUCUUUGCUCUAACCCAGACACUUAGUUUUGUGUCUAUUAUAUCUCCACGCCCC